AGUGAACGCUGGCGGUAGGCCUAACACAUGCAAGUCGAACGGCAGCACAGUAAGAGCUUGCUCUUACGGGUGGCGAGUGGCGGACGGGGGAGGAAUACAUCGGAAUCUACUUUUUCGUGGGGGAUAACGUAGGGAAACUUACGCUAAUACCGCAUACGACCUACGGGUGAAAGCAGGGGAUCUUCGGACCUUGCGCGAUUGAAUGAGCCGAUGUCGGAUUAGCUAGUUGGCGGGGUAAAGGCCCACCAAGGCGACGAUCCGUAGCUGGUCUGAGAGGAUGAUCAGUCACACUGGAACUGAGACACGGUCCAGACUCCUACGGGAGGCAGCAGUGGGGAAUAUUGGACAAUGGGCGCAAGCCUGAUCCAGCCAUACCGCGUGGGUGAAGAAGGCCUUCGGGUUGUAAAGCCCUUUUGUUGGGAAAGAAAAGCAGCAGGUUAAUACCCCGCUGUUCUGACGGUACCCAAAGAAUAAGCACCGGCUAACUUCGUG
rnacentral:rRNA from 1 species